rnacentral:rRNA from 1 species
UGGGCUUGACAUGUCCGGAAUCCUGCUGAGAUGCGGGAGUGCCCUUCGGGGAAUCGGAACAC